rnacentral:rRNA from 1 species
UGACCUCAAAUCAGGUAGGACUACCCGCUGAACUUAAGCAUAUCAAUAAGCGGAGGAAAAGAAACUAACAAGGAUUCCCCUAGUAACUGCGAGUGAAGCGGGAAGAGCUCAAAUUUUGAAUCUGGCGGUCUUCGGCCGUCCGAGUUGUAAUCUAGAGAAGUGUCUUCCGCGCUGGACCGUGUACAAGUCUCCUGGAAGGGAGCGUCGUAGAGGGUGAGAAUCCCGUCUUUGACACGGACUACCAGUGCUAUGUGAUGCGCUCUCGACGAGUCGAGUUGUUUGGGAAUGCAGCUCAAAACGGGUGGUAAAUUCCAUCUAAAGCUAAAUACAGGCGAGAGACCGAUAGCGAACAAGUACCGUGAGGGAAAGAUGAAAAGAACUUUGGAAAGAGAGUUAAACAGUACGUGAAAUUGCUGAAAGGGAAACGCUUGAUGUCAGUCGCGUCCGCCGGGGAUCAACCUUGCUUCUCGCUGGGUGUACUUCCCGGUCGACGGGUCAGCAUCAGUUUCGGUCGCCGUACAAGGGCGAGGGGAACGUGGCACUCUUCGGGGUGUGUUAUAGCCUCUCGUCGUAUGCGGCGCUCGGGACUGAGGAACUCAGCAUGGCUUCGGUUUGUGCUUAGGAUGCUGGCAUAAUGGCCUUAAGCGACCCGUCUG